ACCUAACCCACACUUUAUUUACUUAUAUGAUAAGUUUAGUGGAGUGUAGUGCAAAAUACACAGUGUUUACUUUUAAUUUAACAACAUGAAGCUGCAUCAAGUUUCCAUGGUGACUGCUCAAGAAAUUCUGCAUUCAUAAAUAAACAUCAGACUGUCAAAAGAGCUCAUCUGUGCGAGACCACCGAGCUGAGAGCAUUUUCAGGUCCAGAUCCCCCGUACGCCAUCGUUGGAGAGCAGUUGACGUUUUUCUUCCUGACUUUGAUUUGAACACGUUUAAAUGGAAAAGAGUCAAGGAAUCUAUAAGCCUAUCAGGGUAUGUGACGCUUUUGCUUUUACUGCAUUUCAGUAAUUUGAAGAAUUUGAUGUCGUUUUAAAAGUUGACAAACUGAGAAUCAUUUUAAGUAACAAUGACUAAAUUGCUAUUUCUUUGACAGGUGUUGUUCAACACACCGAUUUAUGAAACAGCUGUAAAGAUCUGCUGGUAUCUUCCGGGCUACAAGGCUCAGGUUGCGAUAAUGACGGAGUUUCUCAGACUUCAGCAGGAAGAUCUAAUUCCACCGAACCUCACUGCUGAAGAUCUGAGAGAUCUUUUGGUGGAGAAGAGCAGGGAGACGCUCAGAGAGCAGCUGUGGGAGUUUGAGUUAGAGGAUUUUGACGAAGAGGAAGCCAAACCUCUUCUAAGGCUGGUGUGGGCGGUGAACGUCAGCAAUAAAAUGAGGGACGUUGAAUUUGAAGCCAGGUUGCUUCUUCAGUUCCCAGAGGCCGUACCUCCUAAAUUUCAAGCACCUAAACUCCUCAGCGCGGUGAAGGAUUACGUUGAAAUCCUGAAAAAGAAGCAGCAGGAACAGCCUAACAGCAAACUGCUCACCGCGCAGGAGGUAGUGGUCGAGGUAG
ensembl:lncRNA